rnacentral:piRNA from 1 species
UGAUGGAAUCUGCAUGAAUGACAGAGAC